CCUACGGGAGGCAGCAGUGGGGAAUAUUGGGCAAUGGGCGCAAGCCUGACCCAGCAACGCCGCGUGAAGGAAGAAGGCUUUCGGGUUGUAAACUUCUUUUCUCAGGGACGAAGAAAGUGACGGUAACUGAGGAAUAAGCCACGGCUAACUACGUGCCAGCGGCCGCGGUAAUACGUAGGUGGCAAGCGUUAUCCGGAUUUAUUGGGUGUAAAGGUCGUGUAGGCGGGAGCGCAAGUCAGAUGUGAAAACUCAGGGCUCAACCUUGGAACUGCAUUUGAAACUGUGUUUCUUGAGUGCUGGAGAGGCGAGUGGAAUGCCGGGUGUAGCGGUGAAAUGCGUAGAUAUACGGAGGAACACCAGUGGCGAAGGCGGAUUGCUGGACAGUAACUGACGCUGAGGCGCGAAAGCGUGGGGAGCAAACAGGAUUAGAUACCCGUGUAGUC
rnacentral:rRNA from 1 species